UCCUAUUUCUUCAAGACUGGACAUAUAACUGGAUGUCUUGACAAACUUUCCUCCACCAACUGGUUUGGGGAGCCCGGUUGCACAGAGGAACUGUUUCGCCAUACAAGCUUUUGUCGGAACUUAUCUGGAGCCAUCGACCUUAUACCAGGAGUCGACAAUCUGGAGGUAUGAGAGGUCAGGUUGUGACGUCCAACAGACUACAACGCAGAGGUUUUCACUCAUGUGCGUGGUUGUUGCCUCAACCAAACCCCUCUAUCAGACUGCACUUUGUUCCAUCGAAGUAGUCCCCAAUACGAGGAAAUGUAACUCUAACCCAACACUGUAUUCGAAGUAAGAGGUCGAGGACAUCUUAUGAACGUGCAGUCAACGUUACUCAAAUUAUAGCUUGGAGAAGAGACCCUUAAACAGACUUUGACCCCACACCCUCUGCCAACUAGCUGGCAGAUUUGCAGAUUUGUUCCCAAUGAGGAGGAGAAGCUCAACGUCUGAGAUGACUAGCCCCCAGCACAAUUCUUCACUCAAUUCCCCUUGAACGCCACGCAAAGAGGGAACCGUUCGAUUAACCACGCUGACAAAUGCUACCAUCUGCCGCUCCUGCAGUUAAUAUUUUCCAUCUCGGACAAAAGAUGGAGUAACCCUCCCAAAUAAGCCAUAUGUAUUUAAAAAAUAAUUCAACUAACUUGUGUUAAUUUAUUACGUGUCAGAUUGUUUUAAAUGAUAUCUGUGAAAGACAAUUUAUUUGCAUUUCUGCUCACUGUAUUGAUUAGUGAGCCCUCAAAUGAUACUUAAGGCUUGUUUGCUACGUAGGUCAUUUGCCUUUGCAUUUUUGGGUUGGACAAAAGAUGUUAACCCACAAAUGUUGGCCUAGGUUUUUUGCCGAAGUAACAAUGUCUUAUUGUAUAUAAAAUAUUUUAUUUGAUUUCAACUAACUUGUUUUAAUUCAACUAAGUUUUCUGCGAUUGUUCAAAUGGUAGCUGGGGAAACUUAUUAAAACAAUAUAGUUUACA